rnacentral:tRNA from 8 species
CGGGGUGUAGCGCAGCUUGGUAGCGCAUCUGCUUUGGGAGCAGAGGGUCGCUGGUUCGAAUCCAGUCACCCCGACCA